UAAGGACUUAUAGGGACCCAUAGGGACCCAUAGGGACACAUUGAGACCCAUAGAGACCCAUAGGGACUCAUAGGGACACAUUGAGACCCAUAGCGACACCCAUUGGGACCCACAGCGACACUGUGAGACCCACAGCGACCCAUAGCGACACCCAUUGGGACAUAGAGGGACACUGUGAGACCCAUAGGGACACAUUGGGACCCAUAGGGACCCAUAGCGACACCCAUAGGGACAUAUAGGGGCCCAUAGGGACACAUUGGGGCCCAUAGCGACCCAUAGGGACACACUGAGACCCAUAGAGACCCAUAGAGACCUAUAGGAACCCAUAGGGACCCAUAGAGACCCAUAGAGACCCAUAGAAACCCCAUAGAGCCCCAUAGAGCCCCUUGGAGCCCCAUAGAGCCCCAUAGAGACCCCAUAGAAACCCCAUAGAGCCCCUUGGAGCCCCAUAGAGACCCACAGGGCCCCAUAAAGCCCCAUAGAGACCCCAUAGAGCCCCAUAGAGACCCCAUAGCGCCCCAUAGAGACCCACAGAGCCCCAUAGAGACCCAUAGAGACCCCACAGAGUGCCAAAGAGACCCAUAGAGACCCCGUAGAGAACUGAUAGAGACCCCAUAGAGUCCCAUAGAGACCCCAUAGAGCCCCAUAGAGCCCCAUAGAGACCCACAGAGCCCCAUAGAGCCCCAUAGAGACCCCUUAGAGCCCCAUAGAGACCCCUUAGAGCCCCAUAGAGACCCAUAGGGUCCCAGAGAGCCCCAUAGAUCCCUGUAUGACCCCAUAGGUACCCAUAGAGCCCCAUACAGCCCUAUAUGUCCCUAUAGGUACCCACAGGUCUCUAUUCAGCCCCGUGUGUCCCAAUGGGGUCCCCAUAUAUCCCUGUAUGUCCCCGUAGGUACCCAUACAUCCCCACGUACCCCCAUACACCCCACAUAUAACCCCAUAUAAACCCACAUCCCCCAUAUCACCCCCGUAUGCCCCCAUAUGUCCCCAUACAACCCCAUAUAUCCCCCCGUACCCCCAUGUACCCCAUAUAAUCCCAUAUACCCCCACGUACCCCAUAUAAUCCUGUGCAACUCCAUAUAACCCCAUAUACUCCGCUAUGACCCUGUAUACCCCUAUAUGCCCCCAUAUAGCCCCCCCACAAUCCCAUAUGCUCCCAUAUAACCCCAUAUACCACCAUAUAUCCACCUAACCCCACAAACCCCCAUAUACCCCCAUAUAUCCCCAAAGAAUCUCAUAUACCCCCAUAUGACCCCAUAUAUCCCCAUAUAACCCCAGAGACACCCAUAUAUCCCAUAUAACCCCAUAGACACCCAUAUAACGCCAUAGACACCCAUAUAACCCCAUGUGUCCCCAUACAACCCCAUAUACCCCCAUAUGACCCCAGAGACACCCAUAUAUCCCAUAUAACCCCAUAAACUCCAUAUAACCCCAUAUAACCCCAGAGACACCCAUAUAGCCCAUAUAACCCCAUAAACCCCAUAUAACCCCAUAUACCCCCAUAUAACCCCAUAGACACCCAUAUAACCCCAUAUGUCCCCAUACAAGCCCAUAUACCCCCAUAUAACCCCAGAGACACCCAUAUAUCCCAUAUAACCCCAUAUACCCCCACACAACUCCAUAUACCCUCAUAUAACCCCAGAGACACCCAGAUAUCCCAUAUAACCCCAUAAACCCCAAAUAACCCCAUGUACCCCCAUAGAACUCCAUAGACCCUCAUAUAACCCCAUAUAGCCCCAUAUAACCUUAUUUACCCCAUAUAACCCCAUAUACCCCCAUAAACCCCAUAUAACCCCAUACACCCCCAUAUGACCCCAUAUACCCCCAUAUAACACCAUAUACCCCCAUAUAACCCCAUAUAACCCCAUAUACCCAUAUUUACCCCAUAUAACCCCAUGCACCCCCAUAUAACCCCAUAUAACUCCAUAUACCCCCAUAUACCCCCAUAUAACACCAUAUAACCCCAUAAACCCCAUAUAACCCCAUAUACCUUCAUAGGGCCCCAUAUAACCCAUCAUAAUCCCAUAUAACCCCAUACAACCCCAUAUACCCCCAUAUACCCCCAUAUAACCCCAUAUACCCCCAUAAACCCCAUAUAACCCCAUAUAACCCCAUGUACCCCAUAUAACCCCAUACACCCCCGUAUGACCCCAUACACCCCCAUAUGACCCCAUAUGACCCCAUAUGCCCCCAUAUAACCCCAUACAACCCCAUAUACCCCCAUAUAACCCCAUAUAACCCCAUAUACCCCCAUAUGACCCCAUAUAACCCCAUAUACCCCCAUAUAACCCCAUAUACCCCAUAUGACCCCAUAUACCCCCAUAUAUCCCUAUAUACCCCAUAUAACCCCAUAUACCCCAUAUAACCCCAUAUGACCCCAUACACCCCCAUAUGACCCCAUACACCCCCAUAUGACCCCAUAUAACCCCAUAUGACCCCAUACACCCCCAUAUGACCCCAUAUAACCCCAUAUACCCAUUUUUACCCCAUAUAACCCCAUGCACCCCCAUAUAACCCCAUAUAACUCCAUAUACCCCCAUAUACCCCCAUAUAACACCAUAUAACCCCAUAAACCCCAUAUAACCCCAUAUACCUUCAUAGGGCCCCAUAUAACCCAUCAUAACCCCAUAUAACCCCAUACAACCCCAUAUACCCCCAUAUGCCCCCAUAUACCCCCAUAUAACCCCAUAUACCCCCAUAUACCCCCAUAUAACCCCAUAUACCCCCAUAUAACCCCAUAUAACCCCAUGUACCCCAUAUAACCCCAUACACCCCCGUAUGACCCCAUACACCCCCAUAUGACCCCAUAUGACCCCAUAUGACCCCAUAUAACCCCAUACAACCCCAUAUACCCCCAUAUACCCCCAUAUAACCCCAUAUACCCCCAUAUGACCCCAUAUAACCCCAUAGACGCCCACAUACCCCUAUAUGUCCCGCAGGCUCCGCCCCCACCUCAAAGCCCCGCCCCCUGUGGGCGGAGCCAACACAAAAGGGGCGUGGCCUCCCUUCCCCAAUCCCACCCGUGGCUCGCUCAGCCUGGCUCGUACUCCACCCUGAUUGGUCACGGAGCGAUAACCCCGC
ensembl:lncRNA